CAAGGUUACAACAGUCAGAUGGCAUCCAGUCCCCUUUGGGAGCCAGAGUUUUUCUGUGGGCAGAUGCUGCAGUCAAAAACCAGGCAAGCUCUCUAGCAACUCACCAGACGGAAAUCCCUAUGUGUCAAUUCCACGCUGAUUGGUUAAAUUUCAGUCAGAAAGGAAGGCACUGGAUAUGAUGUAAAAUCUGGAGAGAGUCAGGCUGUCCGACGUGCGGACCACAAGGCAGUCGGGAGAGCUGGGUGAAGAGGCAUAGUUGAGGUGUAGAAACUGCUGGUAUAAUGCAGGUGUGUUCAUAGUAAAUUAUGUUCUUGAAGUCCGAUUUCUUGAAUUUUGAUUUC